GACGAACGCUGGCGGCGUGCUUAACACAUGCAAGUCGAACGGAAAGGCCCUGCUUUUGUGGGGUGCUCGAGUGGCGAACGGGUGAGUAACACGUGAGUAACCUGCCCUUGACUUUGGGAUAACUUCAGGAAACUGGGGCUAUUACCGGAUAGGAGCUCCUGCUGCAUGGUGGGGGUUGGAAAGUUUCGGCGGUUGGGGAUGGACUCGCGGCUUAUCAGCUUGUUGGUGGGGUAGUGGCUUACCAAGGCUUUGACGGGUAGCCGGCCUGAGAGGGUUACCGGCCACAAUGGGACUGAGAUACGGCCCAGACUCCUACGGGAGGCAGCAGUGGGGAAUAUUGCACAAUGGGCGGAAGCCUGAUGCAGAAACGCCGCGUGCGGGAUGACGGCCUUCGGGUUGUAAACCGCUUUCGCCUGUGACGAAGCGUGAGUGACGGUAAUGGGUAAAGAAGCACCGGCUAACUACGUG
rnacentral:rRNA from 1 species